UUACUCUUCCAUAGAUCUUCGAGAGGAGCUUGGUUGCAGCAUGACAGUCAUUGCAAACCCUGAGAUUCUUCACAAUCCGAAUGGGAGUGCUUGGUGCUGUACUAAUGAGGCCAAAAGCCAUUGCCAAUUUCUCACUGUGAUAGGUAAGUGCGGUUUCUUUCUCUUCCUCGUCUAUAUUUAGCAACACGGUAGAUGUGUCGGGCACGUAGCCAGCUUCAUUCAGUUUCCUUCUCAUCUCAGCUAGCAUUUCAUUAAUUCUUCUGAUUUGUGGGUGUGACUGAUCUCCCAUUAAAAACUCAUGAACUGUGCCAUUUACUUCUAUCACGCUAUGGCCUGGUUCUUUCUUCAUUCCUACAGUCUUCAUAGUUUUUCUGACCCCUGCAGCAUCACUCCAUCUGUUUGCUGCGGCAUAGAUGUUUGACAUUAGCACAUUGUAACCACAAUUUUCAGGUUCUAUUUCAAGAAGCUGCGUUGCUGCUAAUUCCCCCAAUUGAGGGUUUUUAUGAAGCCUGCAAGCAGCAACAAGAGCACCCCACACAAUGGUGUUGGGCUUUAUGGGCAUGCUUUUGAUCAUUUCAUGAGCCUCAUCCAGCAGUCCUGCUCGACCGAGGAGAUCCACCAUGCACCCAUAGUGCUCAAUCUGUGGAACCAAACCAAAGGUGUGGACCAUUUUCUCAAACAGCUUCUUUCCCUCUGUAACCAAUCCAGCAUGACUACAAGCAUGGAGUAGUCCAAUAAAUGUAAUGUCAUUAGGUUUAACUCCCUGUCUCUCCAUUUCUGCAAAGAUGUCCAAAGCUUCCUCACCAUAGCCAUGCAUCGCAAACCCAGUUAU
rnacentral:lncRNA from 1 species